UGCCCAUACUCCUACGGGAGGCAGCAGUGAGGAAUAUUGGUCAAUGGGCUAGAGCCUGAACCAGCCAAGUCGCGUGAGGGAGUACUGCCCUAUGGGUUUUAAACCUCUUUUGUCGGGGAGCAAAAGCCGGACGUGUCCGUCUGUGAGAGUACCCGAAGAAAAAGCAUCGGCUAACUCCGUGCCAGCAGCCGCGGUAAUACGGAGGAUGCGAGCGUUAUCCGGAUUUAUUGGGUUUAAAGGGUGCGCAGGCGGAUUUUUAAGUCAGCGGUCAAAUCGUGGGGCUCAACCACAUACAGCCGUUGAAACUGGGGAUAUAGAGUGUGCGAGAGGUAUGCGGAAUGCGUGGUGUAGAGGUGAAAUGAAUAGAUAUCAAGCAGAAACCCGAUUGAGAAGGCAGAAUACCGGAGCUAAACUGAAGCUCAUGCAAGAAAGUGUGGGUAUCGAACAGGAUUAGAUACCAUAGUAC
rnacentral:rRNA from 1 species